rnacentral:rRNA from 17 species
AAAAAAGGUAAGCUACUAAGAGCGAAUGGUGGAUGCCUUGACUGGUAAAGGCGAUGAAGGACGUACUAGACUGCGAUAAGCUACGGGGAGCUGUCAAGAAGCUUUGAUCCGUAGAUUUCCGAAUGGGGCAACCCAAUGUAUAGAGAUAUACAUUACCUAUAUAGGAGCGAACGAGGGGAAUUGAAACAUCUUAGUACCCUCAGGAAAAGAAAUCAAUAGAGAUUGCGUCAGUAGCGGCGAGCGAAAGCGCAAGAGGGCAAACCCAGUGCUUGCACUGGGGGUUGUAGGACUGCAAUGUGCAAGAGCUGAGUUUAGCAGAACAUUCUGGAAAGUAUAGCCAUAGAGGGUGAUAGUCCCGUAUGCGAAAAACAAAGCUUAGCUAGCAGUAUCCUGAGUAGGGCGGGACACGAGGAAUCCUGUCUGAAUCCGGGUCGACCACGAUCCAACCCUAAAUACUAAUACCAGAUCGAUAGUGCACAAGUACCGUGAGGGAAAGGUGAAAAGAACUGAGGUGAUCAGAGUGAAAUAGAACCUGAAACCAUUUGCUUACAAUCAUUCAGAGCACUAUGUAGCAAUACAGUGUGAUGGACUGCCUUUUGCAUAAUGAGCCUGCGAGUUGUGGUGUCUGGCAAGGUUAAGCAAACGCGAAGCCGUAGCGAAAGCGAGUCUGAAUAGGGCGCUUAGUCAGAUGCUGCAGACCCGAAACGAAGUGAUCUAUCCAUGAGCAAGUUGAAGCUAGUGUAAGAACUAGUGGAGGACUGAACCCAUAGGCGUUGAAAAGCCCCAGGAUGACUUGUGGAUAGGGGUGAAAGGCCAAUCAAACUUCGUGAUAGCUGGUUCUCUCCGAAAUAUAUUUAGGUAUAGCGUUGUGUCGUAAUAUAAGGGGGUAGAGCACUGAAUGGGCUAGGGCAUACACCAAUGUACCAAACCCUAUCAAACUCCGAAUACCUUAUAUGUAAUCACAGCAGUCAGGCGGCGAGUGAUAAAAUCCGUCGUCAAGAGGGAAACAACCCAGACUACCAGCUAAGGUCCCUAAAUCUUACUUAAGUGGAAAACGAUGUGAAGUUACUUAAACAACCAGGAGGUUGGCUUAGAAGCAGCCAUCCUUUAAAGAAAGCGUAAUAGCUCACUGGUCUAGUGAUUUUGCGCGGAAAAUAUAACGGGGCUAAAGUAAGUACCGAAGCUGUAGACUUGCACACAACUUAGAUUAUUUAAGUUUAGAAUAAGUAGUUUAAGUUGUGUGCAAGUGGUAGGAGAGCGUUCUAUUUGCGUCGAAGGUAUACCGGUAAGGAGUGCUGGAGCGAAUAGAAGUGAGCAUGCAGGCAUGAGUAGCGAUAAUUAAUGUGAGAAUCAUUAACGCCGUAAACCCAAGGUUUCCUACGCGAUGCUCGUCAUCGUAGGGUUAGUCGGGUCCUAAGUCGAGUCCGAAAGGGGUAGACGAUGGCAAAUUGGUUAAUAUUCCAAUACCAACAUUAGUGUGCGAUGGAAGGACGCUUAGGGCUAAGGGGGCUAGCGGAUGGAAGUGCUAGUCUAAGGUCGUAGGAGGUUAUACAGGCAAAUCCGUAUAACAAUACUCCGAGAACUGAAAGGCUUUUUGAAGUCUUCGGAUGGAUAGAAGAACCCCUGAUGCCGUCGAGCCAAGAAAAGUUUCUAAGUUUAGCUAAUGUUGCCCGUACCGUAAACCGACACAGGUGGGUGGGAUGAGUAUUCUAAGGCGCGUGGAAGAACUCUCUUUAAGGAACUCUGCAAAAUAGCACCGUAUCUUCGGUAUAAGGUGUGGUUAGCUUCGUACUAGGAUUUACUCCGAAAGCGAAGAAACUUACAACAAAGAGUCCCUCCCGACUGUUUACCAAAAACACAGCACUCUGCUAACUCGUAAGAGGAUGUAUAGGGUGUGACGCCUGCCCGGUGCUCGAAGGUUAAUUGAUGGGGUUAGCAUUAGCGAAGCUCUUGAUCGAAGCCCGAGUAAACGGCGGCCGUAACUAUAACGGUCCUAAGGUAGCGAAAUUCCUUGUCGGUUAAAUACCGACCUGCAUGAAUGGCGUAACGAGAUGGGAGCUGUCUCAAAGAGGGAUCCAGUGAAAUUGUAGUGGAGGUGAAAAUUCCUCCUACCCGCGGCAAGACGGAAAGACCCCG